UACGUAGGUGGCGAGCGUUACUCGGAAUUACUAGGCGUAAAGCGCGUGUAGGCGGGAGCCUAAGUCUGUGGUUAAAUUUCGCAGCCCAACUGCGAACUGUCCACGGAAACUGGGUUUCUUGAGUGAGGUAGAGGGAACCGGAAUUCCAGGUGUAGCGGUAAAAUGCGUAGAUAUCUGGAAGAACGCCCAAGGCGAAGGCAGGUUCCUGGGCCUUUACUGACGCUGAGACGCGAAAGCUAGGGGAGCAAAC
rnacentral:rRNA from 1 species